rnacentral:lncRNA from 1 species
CACGACAAAGCAGUUCAUCUUCUUUUCGUUUCUUUCUCUCCUUUUUUUCUUCAUCAGUGUCAUUCUCAGUUGGUUCUGGAAUUGCCUCCAGAUCAGGAUCCAAGACAUAUUGAAUUUUCAGGGCGGUCAGGAGAAAUGUCAUUUUGUCUUGCCAACGGGUAUAGUUUGUUCCAUCGAAACGAUUUAACUUAACAAGGUCCUGGUUCAUCCGUUUGAUGCUUGAAACAAAAGCGUCGGUGGCCAUGAUUUGAGAUACUAUAAGAUUGUUAGAAAUUUCGGAAAGAUUAAAGGGAUACAGGCUUGAAUCGUGAAUGCAACACUUUUCUUAUAGUAUUUCAAGCACUCUCGAUUGUCUUAGAGUUCUGAUGUAGGAAUACCCAGGAUAAUUCAGCCUUAUCAAGUUUUCGCAAGACCGGCGAAAACCCGAAUGCAACGAAGAGCGUCUGGAAUUAUUUAGAGGAUUUUUGGAUUUUUUGUGUUGUAUUCUGAAUCCGGAUUUAUGCUUUUAUAGGCCAUGUUGAUAUUGUUUCACAAGGUAGCGACCCUU